UACGUAGGGUGCAAGCGUUAAUCGGAAUUACUGGGCGUAAAGCGUGCGCAGGCGGUUCUAUAAGACAGAUGUGAAAUCCCCGGGCUCAACCUGGGAACUGCAUUUGUGACUGUAGAGCUGGAGUACGGCAGAGGGGGAUGGAAUUCCGCGUGUAGCAGUGAAAUGCGUAGAUAUGCGGAGGAACACCGAUGGCGAAGGCAAUCCCCUGGGCCUGUACUGACGCUCAUGCACGAAAGCGUGGGGAGCAAACAGGAUUGAGAA
rnacentral:rRNA from 1 species